GUCUAAGGCCAUGCCACCCUGAACAAGCCCGAUCCCAUCUGAUCUCAGAAGCCCGAUCCCAUAUGAUCUCGGAAGCUAAGCAGGGUCCGGCCUGGUUAGUACUUGGAUGGGAGACCACCUAGGGAGACCAGGUGCUGUAGACG
rfam:Pteropus alecto contig103930, whole genome shotgun sequence.